rnacentral:rRNA from 1 species
CCUACGAGUGGCAGCAGUGGGGGAUAUUGGACAAUGGGGGAAACCCUGAUCCAGCGACGCCGCGUGAGUGAAGAAGUAUUUCGGUAUGUAAAGCUCUAUCAGCAGGGAAGAAAGAAAUGACGGUACCUGAGUAAGAAGCCCCGGCUAACUACGUGCGAGCAGCCGCGGUAAUACGGAGGGGGCAAGCGUCAUCCGGAAUUACUGGGUGUAAAGGGAGCGUAGACGGUAAGGCAAGUCUGUAGUGAAAGGCGGGGGCCCAACCCCCGGACUGCUCUGGAAACUGUGUAACUGGAGUGCAGGAGAGGCAGGCGGAAUUCCUAGUGUAGCGGUGAAAUGCGUAGAUAGUAGGAGGAACACCAGUGGCGAAGGCGGCCUGCUGGACUGUAACUGACGUUGAGGCUCGAAAGCGUGGGGAGCAAACAGGAUUAGAUACCCGAGUAGUC